GACAGAGGGUGCAAACGUUGUUCGGAAUUACUGGCGUAAAGCGUGUGUAGGCGGCCUUGCAAGUCGGAUGUGAAAGCCCCGGGCUCAACCCGGGAAGUGCUUCUGAUACUGCUUGGCUUGAGUACUGGAGAGGAUAGUGGAAUUCCAGGUGUAGUGGUGAAAUGCGUAGAUAUCGGGAAGAACACCAGUGGCGAAGGCGCUCUACUGGGCCACAACUGACGCUGAGGGACGAAAGCUAGGGGAGCGAAAGGG
rnacentral:rRNA from 1 species